AUUGAACGCUGGCGGCAUGCCUUACACAUGCAAGUCGAACGGCAGCGCGGGAGUAAUCCUGGCGGCGAGUGGCGAACGGGUGAGUAAUAUAUCGGAACGUGCCCAGUAGUGGGGGAUAGCCCGGCGAAAGCCGGAUUAAUACCGCAUACGACCUACGGGUGAAAGGGGGGGAUCGCAAGACUUCUCGCUAUUGGAGCGGCCGAUAUCAGAUUAGGUAGUUUGUGGGGUAAAGGCCCACCAAGCCUGCGAUCUGUAGUUGGUCUGAGAGGACGACCAGCCACACUGGGACUGAGACACGGCCCAGACUCCUACGGGAGGCAGCAGUGGGGAAUUUUGGACAAUGGGGGCAACCCUGAUCCAGCAAUGCCGCGUGCAGGAAGAAGGCCUUCGGGUUGUAAACUGCUUUUGUCAGGGAAGAAAUCCCUUGGGAUAAUACCUCGGGGGGAUGACGGUACCUGAAGAAUAAGCACCGGCUAACUACGUGCCAGCCGCCGCCGUAA
rnacentral:rRNA from 1 species